CUUGAACGCUGUCGGCAGGCCUAACACAUGCAAGUCGAGCGAGCGGCGGACGGGUGAGUAAUGUCUGGGAAACUGCCUGAUGGAGGGGGAUCACUACUGGAAACGGUAGCUAAUACCGCAUACCAUCAGAUGUGCCCAGAUGGGAUUAGCUAGUAUGUGGGGUAACGGCUCACCUCGGCGACGAUCCCUAGCUGUGCUGAGAGGAUGACCAGGAACAAGGGAAAUGAGACAAGGUCCAGAAGCCUACGGGAGGCAGCAGUGGGGAAUAUGGCACAAUGGGCGCAAGCCUGAUGCAGACAUGCCGCGUGUGGGAAGAAGGCCUUCGGGUUGUAAAGCACUGUCAGCGGGGAGGCGUUACCCGCAGAAGAAGCACCGGCUAACUCCGUGCCAGCAGCCGCGGUAAUAC
rnacentral:rRNA from 1 species